rnacentral:rRNA from 1 species
AUACGGAGGGAGCGAGCGUUAAUCGGAAUUACUGGGCGUAAAGCGCGCGUAGGCGGCUUUGUAAGUCGGAUGCGAAAGCCCUGGGCUCAACCUGGGAAUGGCAUUCGAUACUGCAGAGCUAGAGUAUGGUAGAGGGAAGUGGAAUUUCCGGUGUAGCGGUGAAAUGCGUAGAUAUCGGAAGGAAUACCGGUGGCGAAGGCGGCCUCCUGGACCAAUACUGACGCUGAGGUGCGAAAGCGUGGGGAGCAAACAGGAUUAGAAACCCCAGUAGUCC